UGGGGAAUAUUGGACAAUGGGCGCAAGCCUGAUCCAGCCAUGCCGCGUGAGUGAUGAAGGCCCUAGGGUUGUAAAGCUCUUUCACCGGUGAAGAUAAUGACGGUAACCGGAGAGGAAGCCCCGGCUAACUUCGUGCCAGCAGCCGCGGUAAUACGAAGGGGGCUAGCGUUGUUCGGAUUUACUGGGCGUAAAGCGCACGUAGGCGGACUAUUAAGUCAGGGGUGAAAUCCCGGGGCUCAACCCCGGAACUGCCUUUGAUACUGGUAGUCUUGAGUUCGAGAGAGGUGAGUGGAAUUCCGAGUGUAGAGGUGAAAUUCGUAGAUAUUCGGAGGAACACCAGUGGCGAAGGCGGCUCACUGGCUCGAUACUGACGCUGAGGUGCGAAAGCGUGGGGAGCAAACAGG
rnacentral:rRNA from 1 species